AGCUGCUUUGGGGUUUGGGUUUUUUGUUGGUAUAGGAAAGUCAUCUCUGCUUCUCUGUCAGGGCACAAACUGCCACUGCACAGUGGAGCUUAAGUAAUGGGCUCUGGGAGAGCAUUUACAGAUGUGAAAGAAGCAGGUGGAGCCUCAUGUUUCCUUUUUCUCCAGGCUGAACUCCUGUUAGCCACAGGAGGGACCCCACAGCUGCGGCAGCCCAAGCUAUUCUCGGCUUCGCUGCGUGACUUCCUGAGCUGCUGCCUGCAGGCAAACGAGGAGUGGCGCUGGUCUGCCAAGGAGCUCCUGCAGCAUCAAUUUAUAACAUCAGUCAAGUCUGUGUCCAGCCUGGUGCCACUGAUUAUUUCAGUGAAGAAGAGGAAGGAGGGGGAAGGACUGUGACAAUCACGUCAGGACCAUUUAUUCCAAAAGCAGCUUGGAUUCGGAUUGUAGAGUAGUAUUCUGAAUAAAUAAAGUUUCUGAAACCCCAA